GUGAAUGUAUAGAGAAACCACGGGAACGUUUCCGCUGGGCACCAGCCAGCUGGAAUCCAGCUGGAUUGACAUUUUGAGAGGAACUAAAAAUGUAUAGAAGCGCCGAGAAGAGAGAUAUGCUUGUUGCUGUUGUUGAUGCUAGGCCGAGAAGAAGAGAGAGGUUUCCGGAUAGGAGACCCCUGUUCGUCGUAUUUUCCUGCGUUUAUACCAGAAUUUGGAUGAGCAUGGGUCAUUUAUCUAUCCUAACUCCAACCGAACACGUCCGGUAGUAACACCCAAAAAACGAAAUCGCGGUGUUGCUUUGACAUGGGACCGGACCUGCUAAGCCGAAAAAAUUAAAUUGGGAUUUGUAUAACCAUUUACUAUAUAUACCAUUUUUUGCUAAGGUUAAUGGUUUACGAAAUAAACGGGGAUGGCCAUCAUGUUGUUACAGAAAGCACACCCCUCACGUGUCUUCCCGUCGGACACAACUCAGAAAUGAUCGAUUCUAUAAAAAAUUUCCUCUCAGUAAAACUUGCAUAA